ACUUAUUAUUAAUUGCUAUUCUUUCCAUAGUGUUCCUAAUGUCAAGCCUACAAAAUUAUAACCCAACACCAAUCUGGAGAACCGUUACAAGAAGCAAAGUGGAAACCAAAACAAAAAUCGUAGUGGUAUUCAAAUUUGGAAUUUAAAGAUGAUGUAACCUACCGUAUAUUUGACAAACCAAAAAAAAUGAGUUUUUUACUCUUCAGGAUUUGUUUAUUUUUGCGAAAGAACAUCCAGAAUAUACAGCAAGUUUAAAUACUUUACGUCGAGUAUUAAAAUCCAUGGGAUUCAGAUUUAAGAAAGUUAACAACAGAAAAAUAAUUGCUUUUUGGUUAUUUGGUCUAUGUGUUCCCAAUGUUUCUAACCACUCCUGUAACACCUCUGAAUUUUGUGAAGUUACAUUUUGUUCAUUAUUACCACUAAAAUCCUCAGGGCGGAGGAGCAUAGCCAGACCUAUCGCCUUCACCCAAAUUCCUUGUACAUUUUGUAAAUAAUAAGUAGUACCAAAUAUUAGAGUUAUUAAACAUAACAUUAAAGACUU